UUUAACAGUUGGGUCUUCACCUGCUUUGCUAGAAUUGCAAAAGCAAGACUUAACACCAGGUCACCAAGUCCCCUACCUAAUAACAGUCCCAAUUGUCAGGCAGUUGUGGGUCUUGGGUUGCUUUCCUCUAAGCAGGCUUGCUCCUUUGGCACGGCCUCAGGCAAAGGAAGGAAAGGCAGGCAGCACCACACCCAUCACUGGGGACCUGACUCACUAAGGCUUUGGGGACAAGCCAGACAUCUUUCAAGGCUAGGAGGACUAAGAGAAAAUAGGGUCUGUCCCUUUCCUGGUGUCUCCUUCUGGGAGUCACUAUACGUUUACUUUCUUGGCCUUUGGUUUAUUCUAGUGAAUCAGCAGACACUUCCAGGGAACCAAACAGUAACUGGAGUGGAGCUGUCAGGAAGCCUGUGGCACCUCCCCUCUCUUAGCCACAGCCAACUGUUCCGUGACAAGAGCCUCUUAUAAGUCAUCUGGACUCACACCCUGGGCUAGAAGAUUCAAGACCUUCUGGCAGGUGAGGGAAACCGCAGGUACACAAGUGUAAGUUGUGAGCUGCCUGCUGCUGGUGGAGGAGGUAAGUCUCCUCCCUGUGGAGGGCUGAUGUCCACUAAAGGACCUAGGGCUUUGACACAAUAAAGGAAAGUGCUCAAAGGCCA
rnacentral:lncRNA from 1 species